GGCGAAGCUGAGAACUUAAGCGCCAGUAAACGGCGGUGGUAACUAUAACCAUCCUAAGGUAGCGAAAUUCCUUGUCGGGUAAGUUCCGACCUGCACGAAUGGCGUAACGACUUCUCGACUGUCUCAACCAUAGGCCCGGUGAAAUUGCACUACGAGUAAAGAUGCUCGUUUCGCGCAGCAGGACGGAAAGACCCCGGGACCUUUACUAUAGCUUGAUAUUGGUGUUCGGUUCGGCUUGUGUAGGAUAGGUGGGAGACUGUGAAGCAUGCACGCCAGUGUGUGUGGAGUCGUCGUUGAAAUACCACUCUGGUCGUGCUGGAUGUCUAACCUGGGUCCGUGAUCCGGAUCAGGGACAGUGUCUGGUGGGUAGUUUAACUGGGGCGGUUGCCUCCUAAAGGGUAACGGAGGCGCCCAAAGGUUCCCUCAGCCUGGUUGGCAAUCAGGUGUUGAGUGUAAGUGCACAAGGGAGCUUGACUGUGAGACCGACGGGUCGAGCAGGGACGAAAGUCGGGACUAGUGAUCCGGCGGUGGCUUGUGGAAGCGCCGUCGCUCAACGGAUAAAAGGUACCCCGGGGAUAACAGGCUGAUCUUCCCCAAGAGUCCAUAUCGACGGGAUGGUUUGGCACCUCGAUGUCGGCUCGUCGCAUCCUGGGGCUGGAGUCGGUCCCAAGGGUUGGGCUGUUCGCCCAUUAAAGCGGUACGCGAGCUGGGUUUAGAACGUCGUGAGACAGUUCGGUCCCUAUCCGCUGUGCGCGUAGGAGUCUUGAGAAGGGCUGUCCCUAGUACGAGAGGACCGGGACGGACGAACCUCUGGUGUGCCAGUUGUUCUGCCAAGGGCAUGGCUGGUUGGCUACGUUCGGGAGGGAUAACCGCUGAAAGCAUCUAAGCGGGAAGCCUGCUUCGAGAUGAGGACUCCCACCCACUUGAUGGGGUAAGGCUCCCAGUAGACGACUGGGUUGAUAGGCCAGGUGUGGAAGACCGGUAACGGUUGGAGCUGACUGGUACUAAUAGGCCGAGGGCUUGUCCUCAGUUG
rnacentral:rRNA from 1 species